rnacentral:rRNA from 1 species
UGUUUAUGCCAUACUACCUUGAACUUGCCAGAUCUAAUCUGAUCUUGGAAGCUAAGCAGGGCUGGACCUGGUUAGUACUUGGAUGGGUGAAAUAAUUUCUCAGGCCAGUGAGAUGGCUCAGCAGGCAAAGGAGC